rnacentral:lncRNA from 1 species
AUGUAAGGGUUGGCAGCGGAGGUGAGGGUAUCUCAUCUGGAGAUCCCUACCUACCUGGGGCUUUUCAAAGCACUUUGAGGAGCAGCAGAGGUCACUUGUAGAUGUUACUGGCCUCGUUUCUCACUGCUUCUUCCACUACCGAAGAAAACAUCGCAUCGUACCAAAUAUAAGCAAUUUCAUCGGCAUUUCCCACAGCUGUAAUAACCCUCAGCACCACUGGGUGGUAGUCGCUUUCUUCAGGUGGAGAGCAGAGCCGAGCUGGGGGACUUAGAGCCGGGGACUCCGCCAGAGGCCCUCCUCGGCGCUCCGCACCUCAUACGAACCGCAGGCUUUGUGGGAUCCGUGCUUUGCCGCAGUCUCAACUCGUUCAGAGGGCUGUGAGUCUACUACUAAGGCAAAGAGCAACGCUUUCAGUUACUCUAUCUGUGCUGAGUCUGGACAGUCCGCUCCGUGGCACCUGCAAGCAGGUGGUGUCAGUGUACGUUCAUGAGCAGAAACACUGGUUGUGUUGUGGCAGCGUUAGCAACAGCAUCUCUUUGCUUCUAAACUGGAGAAAUAUGGUAUAGAGUGACUGGAGAUAGCUAAACGUGAGAGCAAUGCGCAUCCUUCUAAGCCCUCUAAAACAUGCCAGUGAAUCUCAGUGCAGCCUGUAAGGGAAUGCCGAGUGCUGUCAGCACUAAAGUGUCACAUUAAAGUCUUAAAAGCUACAGGAGAUGUGCUGAGAUCACCUUCAGUUCUCUCACACUGCUGGAGUGCUGAGCACGUUCCGGCAGCCUGACCAUGCUGUGACUCAAGCAAGGGGCAUAUUUUUUAUGCUGCAGUUCAAGAUUGGCCCAAAAAGGUUUUUAGGCCCCCUCCGCCAGGCCUGGGGUCAGCAGCUCCCUCCCUGUGAGCUGGCAGUAGAACUGGAGCUGGGGGUGUUCCAGUACAUUGACUUCUGUGCAUCUGUGUGACUUGGCUUCUGUGCCAUCCCCCCCCUCUGCACACACUCUCUGUGAAAAGGGCUGUAAUUAACGAUGCUCCGUGCUCUGUGGAUAUCUUUAUUUAAUUAGCGUUGUUAAAAUAGAUGGCAAAAACCCAUCCCUCCUCUCCUUUCAUGCGCACAAAGGGUCCCACAGGCAGCAGAACCAGCAUCUUCCUGGGAAGCAAACUUUUAUGACAUGAGGCAGGAAUCGUGCAUUCCUCGAACACCACAGAUGGUCUCUGCAGAGCCCGUGUGUGAAUGCAGGCAGAAGCAAGAGCAUGAAUGCCAUAAAGCUGUUGCUCCUCUCGCUGAGCUAGGUCUAGUGUGCUGUUGAUUUCCUUCAGCCCCAUUGCUGGAUUACUACUGUAUUGAACAAGGAUUGUUUGUUCCCUUAUUUUUUUUUUUUCCCUCAUUACAUUCAUUUCCGAAUCAUAACGUUAGUCUGGACAAUGUAUGGAGCUGUCGUUGUCAAGGGUCCAAUUAGCCUGGCAGCAGGAGACCUAUCAUUCAAAGUAAUGAGAAAGAGGUAACUCUGGGGCACGUUUUAAGAUUUAAGUGAUCUUAAAACGUGAUCUUACACACAAACAUCUCUCACUUCUCAGCAAUGGAGGUUUCAGUACUGUAUUGUUGUCACCCAUUUGCUUGGUACUUGACUAAAGUAACUUACCUGCAAGCAUUUAACUACUGGAGCUGAAUGCUUUAUUACCUUUGUUUCAUUUACAUUAAACUGGUCUUCUCUUAGAGCCAUAUAUCACUCCCUGGUUAAAAGUACUGGUUCUGCUCCAGCACAUCGAGGCAUUCUAUUCUGUAACACAGUUGUACAAUACAAGGAAAUGAGAGGGGGGACGUCUCCAUCUGGCAGAUGAUCCUCAGAAGUGGAAAAGAAGAUGUGCAGGCUUAUGCUAUUAAACUUUUUGAGCUCAAAUGGAAUCCAGCUGUGUAGGAUCCACAGCAUUCUUGCAGUUUAACUACUCGCAGGAUGUAUAUUUUCAAUCCCUUUAUUUUUGUUUUCUUUAAUUGUUGGGGCCUGAGAUCAUAAACGCCUCAGUUUUUCAAGAAUGAAGUGCAGCUCUUGGUAAUUUGUUCUAAUCAACUGCCAUAAGAAAUGUCUGCUCCGUAACCUUGAAUGCUUUUUCUCUCCCCUAACAACAGAAUAUACUUACUGCAAAAAAUAAACAUCUGGUUUGAAU